GAGAAUUCCUGAUGGGCUAGGCUAUCUCUUCACUAUCUCUUCACAGUGGAUGUCUCCACAACUCUCUCCCAUCUGAGUGGCCUCUGACUCACACUGACUGUCCCCUCCCAGAUGAAGUGUGAAUUAAAUUUUCCAGCCCUGUUGCAUCCUCCCCACUGAAUGAAAUGAAGGAUCUCCCGCUGGUCUGUCCAAGUGAAAACAAUGACCUCAAUAGAGGGUAAGUCCUGGCCUUCUGGACGCCAGACUACCUCCUCCCUGAGGGAGGAACGCGGACGGCAGCAGGAAAGGACAUGGUCACCCUUCACCCUGAAAACUCACACACCAGAGUCCAUCCCCCUAAGGUGAUCUGUGCAGAUUUCGUUGUUUUGUUUUUGAAACGCGGGACGGGGAUUUCAUUCUCCUUCCAAGACCCCUUUCUUCCUGGACGCGUAGCAUCCCUCCUUCUUCUGGCCCCUUCCUGCCUGAGCAACUGAGCAGAGCUCUCUCUUCUCAAGCCCUAGCCAUUGCGUCUUGUGAGGAGGGCAAUGCUGCCCCCUGCUGGCUCCAGGAUGAGAAACAGCCCUCAGGGGCAACCAGGUUCCGUCUGUUUCCCUGUAGGUAGGAUCUGAACGAGCCUUGUUCCCUUUUCCAAAACAGCUUCUGGCCUGUCUGGACUUGGUUAUCUGGAUAGAAGGCUGGAGAAUCGUCAUCCCUUUUCCCAACCGUUGGGAACUUUAUUUGACCUUCAAUGUUGUUUUCAUCCGCAUGACUACAGAGUCUGUGCAGGUGCCUUUGGUCUUGGCAUUUUAUGCCAGCCGUAGGAAGCCGAGCUAACGACGACAAUAUCAGAUUAGAACCUUCAGGGGAAGUCUCCCCUUCCACUGAGUCUUUCAGGGAUCAAACCCGGCUCGUCGAGAGUUGUUAAGUGUGGAGGCUCCCACCGGCCCUGGACAUCCUCUUUGUCGCAUUUGGCUGCAUUAUACAGGUGUGAUGGUUUGAAUAGUCAUGGCCCAAUAGAGUCAUGUGCUUGUAUGUUUGGCCCAUAGGGACUGGCCCUAUGAGAAGGUGUGGC
rnacentral:lncRNA from 1 species